UUUCUUUGCCAAAUCCUGGAGCCACUCUGACUGCAUCUCAGGCCUCCCUGUUGCAGAGUCACCCUCACGUGUCCCAGACCCAGACCCAGCCUUCUCUGCCGCAGAACACCCAGACCCGGACGCCCCCGAUGCAGAACGAGGCCCACUCCUGUCUUCAACAGCUCCAGCACCAGCCUCAGUCCCACUCUGAAGUAGCCUCUCUGCCACAGACCCAGCCAUCUGUCGUCCCUCCCUCCCUCCCUCAGGCCUCUGUCUCCCAGCCCCAGUCCCAGUACCCCUCACAGUCCCAGUCCCAGUACCCCUCACAGUCCCAGUACCCCUCACAGUCCCAGUCCCAGUACCCCUCACAGUCCCAGUACUCCUCCCACUCCCAGUCUGAGGUGGCCCAGGCCCAGUCCUCUCACCCUGCUCCAGCAGCUUCCUACCCCCUCCCCUCCCAGACCUCAGUUCCUGUCCCGGCCUCUCUGCAUCCUCACCUCCACGCCCAGACGCCUCAGCCUCCUCAGCCUCCUCACCCCUCCCAAGUGCCACAUCCCUCCCUCUCUCUCUCCACUUCCCAUCCCUCUCUCUAUCCCCACUCCUCCGUCGGUCAGAAUCAAAACCGAGGCCCCUCUCCCUCCGGCUCAGCCUCACCCCGAGUCUCCGGCUCACCCUCCUCCUCCUCACCCCGCUCAUCACCCCCAGCUGCAGUCUGCUCCUCCCCCUCACCACCCGUCCAUCCCCGGAGCUGUUCCUCUGCAGCAGCUGUCCCAGCUCUACCAGGACCCCCUGUACCCCGGAUUCCCCCAGGGGGAGAAGGGCGAAGUGGCUCAGACUCCAGCCUUGUCCUCCAGCAAAUCAGGGGAGGACCUGCCGCUAGAUCUCAACAUCUUGAAGUUUUUCUUCAACUUGGGUGUCAAGGCUUACUCCAUGCCCAUGUUCCCCCCCUACAUCUACCUCCUCCCCCUGCAGCAGGCCCACACCUUACACCCCAAGCUCCCCUCCCGCUCCCCGUCCCCUCCCCCCCAGUACCCUCCCUCCAGGCACCAGGACGAGUACGCCCAGUACCCUCCGACUUCCACAUCAAUGCCUCCCCAGUACGAGCACCAGGCCCUGUCGGCUGAGCCCCCACAUCCCACUGACCCACCCUCCUUCAAUCAGGCCGGGUACCCUGUCAAUCAGCCUCCACCUCACAGGAUGUCCUGGCAACAGCACCAGAUGCCCCCUCCCAGAAACCCCAACUACUCGGUUGGAUAUCAUAGCCAAAGUUCAUCGUAUCUGGCUUCCCCGCCCUUGUCUCAGGGCUACCACCCGAGUCAAGCCCAGGGCCACCUGUACCCCCAGUACCCACCCUCCUCAAUAGGAUUUCAGUCUUCGCCGAACCCCGAAGAGCUCCAGGUGAGCCAGCAGGGGGCGCUGGAGCAGCGCCAGCCCACCAAUGGAGACACGAUGCAUGGCCAAGGGCCUGGCCGAGGCCCAGGUCCUCUGGAGAGUCCUGCUGCUGCUAACAUGGCUAAUGCUAACAACAACAGAACGGGGAUGGCGUCUGGUUUCGCCCUCAAGAACGAACCGGGAGACAGUUCGACCAAAAUGGUGCUGCUGGUGGACCCCCCACUCAACAACACACCAAUAAUGAAGCUGGUUUCAAACACCGACGUUUCGGAUGUCCCCAUGACAACCAUGAAGCCCGGCAGCACCCCUGCCUCGCCGACACCUUAUGACCUCAUCUCCAAGACGGCCGUCCACGGCGACAACAACCCCUGCCGCAGUUACCGGGGCCAUCGAAAACCACUCAGUCACGCCAGCGCGUACAUCCCGGAGAGUUACCUGGCGACCGUUGCCAUGGCGGAGUCUCUGUCUGUGGGCUGCAGCACGGAGGACGACUGGGAGGAGUCGUCGGGGUUCAGACCGACGACCUUUAACCCCAGAGGGCCGAGGAAGGGCUACAGAGGAGGAGGAGGGAGAGGGAGGGGAGGCCAUGAUGCAGGGAGGGGAGCACACAGGAGGAGACAUGGAGGAGAGGCGGGGGCGGGGCUUAACUACGUCCAGUUUAACUCCUCCCACAGGGGGCGGGGCCGAGAGAGAGGAUACUAGCUCCCAGCCAAUAAGACGAGAGGACACUGGAAGGGGAUUUUGCGUGUGUGUGUGUGUCUUUUCUCCCUACUGAGAGUUAGAUGAGAAGAUAUGUAUCAUGUCUGGAUGCUAAAUAUGAAGCUACAGCUAGCAGCCGCUUAGCUUAGUUUAGCUUAGCAUGAAGGCUUGAAACGGGAGGAAAUGGCUAGCUCGGCUCUGUUGAAAAGUAAAUAAAGUAACUUAUUCUUUCUACUUUUUGGACAGAGCUUUAACCGUCUCCUGGCUAUAGCUUCACAUUCACCGUACCGUGGAAUCAGUCUUCUCAUCCAGCUAUAUUUCUUUAAUAGGAAGUCAAAUUUCGGACUCUUUAGCAUCUCUUUGAACGCAGCAACUGAGUGUUUAGCGUGUCCAUAAAGCUUUAGAAAUGUUAAGCACAUUUCAGCAAAAAGAAGCGUCGACCAAGUUAAUUGAGCACUUCUUUUAAGCAUCUGUUAGCAGCUUGAGCUGAAAACACAGAAUUAAAGGAACACGCCGACUUAUUGGGACUUAAGCUUAUUCACCGUAACCCCCAGAGUUAAAGUCCAUACAUACCCUUCUCGUGUCCGUGCGUGUUGUAACUCUGUCUGACGGCUCCACCGUUAGCUUAGCCUAGCACAGAACCUGGUAACUGGUUCCAUCUAGCCUACUGCUCCCAAUAAGUGACAAAAUAACGCCAAGUCACCGCGUGUACAAAAAACAACGUAACAGCCGUCUUCUAACCAUAAACAAACUGGGAACUAUAUUCUCAGAAAGGCUUGCUGCAAAGCAAAUCACUCCUCCCAAGUAGCAGAAGUAGCAGAGCUUCGCCUUUCUGAGAAUAUAGUUCCCAGUUUGUUUACGGUUAGAAGACGGCUGUGUCUCAUGUUACGUUGUUAUUUGUACACGCUGUGACUCUACAAAUCACAUCAUGUAAAUAGGAACAUGUUGGCGUUAUUUUGUCACUUAUUGGGAGCAGUAGGCUAGAUGGAGCCGGUUACCUCCAGGAUCUGUGCUAAGCUAAGCUAACGGUGGAGCCGUCAGACAGAGUUACAACACACACGGACACGAGAAGGGUAUGUAUGGACUUGUCUAACUCUGGGGGUUACGGUGAAUAAGCUAAAGUCCCAAUAAGUCGGCGUGUUCCUCUAAAUCAACAAAAAUCUGAUUUAUUCUCGUAAAAUCUAAGUUUGAGAACGGCUUUAAGAGUGGUAGUGCUGCUUUAAAACGACCGUAAUGUGUAUGGGAGUCUGGUUUAGAAGAGUCGGACAACAAAUAGGAUCUGUGUGGACGAUUUGUUCAGAUUUCUUUUAAUUGUCCGUGUGUCGUCGUUGUUGCUCCUUGUGUGUAUUUGUCUUGUUUUUCUUCUGUGCUGGGUGUAUUUUUUCUUUCUCUCGUCACGUUGGAUCAACUCAAAACUCUAGAGAUCCAGUGCCUUACGUUUGCUACUUUACUGUCUUAUUUCUUUUUCUUUUUGAGAAACGCUGCUGUACAGAACUGAAGGUGUUGGUGUUUUUCUAUGCGAUUGAAUAAAUAAAACAUUGGUUCAGAUGGU
ensembl:lncRNA